UACAGAGGGUGCGAGCGUUGUUCGGAAUCAUUGGGCGUAAAGAGCGUGUAGGCGGCUAGAUAGGUCCGUUGUGAAAACUCGAGGCUCAACCUCGAGACGCCGGUGGAAACCAUCUAGCUAGAGUCCGGAAGAGGAGAGUGGAAUUCCUAGUGUAGAGGUGAAAUUCGUAGAUAUUAGGAAGAACACCAGUGGCGAAGGCGGCUCACUGGCCCGGUACUGACGCUGAGGCGCGAAAGCGUGGGGAGCAAACAGG
rnacentral:rRNA from 1 species